UUACAUUCCCGCAUACUCAAAUAUUAUAUCACAAAUAGUCGAUACGAUACAUCUACGGUCCCAAAAAAAGUGAUUGUAUUUGUUAACGUAGCUAUAACUUUAAACUUUACUUCGACAACGUGUAGUUGGCAUCACUGCUGAAAACAUCAACAUAACGACGACAACCGCAAGAGAAAUUUUCGUUUUUCGCGAUCAAAGUAGAACUCCCGGAUCGGCAGCUGCAAUCAAGAAAACGGACACCAGCGAUGUUCAAACAGCAACAUAUUCGCUGGAGGAGAGAAGGCACGCUGGGAGAAGCCAUCCUUCUGGAUCCAGCAGCUACGCCAACGUUCGGGUGGACACGGACACGGAUACGGUUGGUGUGUCGGAAAUGAGACCUGCACUAGUGGAGGAGCUAAGCAGCAAGAAAUUCAAACCCACAGUCGAAAGGGACUUGGUACCCGCCGCUCCAGGAAAAUUCCAGCUCCAUUCAACCAUUCGCACACCCGGUGUUGAUUGAUGGGUUGAUCGAGUUAAUGGUAAUUAUGUUUAUUAUUAGUUCAUAUGUUAUAAAAGUGAUUAAAGUGUAUAAUAAAAAUGAAUAUAAAAUC